GACGAACGCUGGCGGUAUGCUUAACACAUGCAAGUCGAACGAGAAGUUUUUUAUUGAACCUUCGGGGGAUAUAAGAGACAGACAGUGGCGAACGGGUGAGUAACGCGUGGGCAACCUACCUAUCGGAGCGGGAUAGCCUCGAGAAAUCGGGAGUAAAACCGCAUAACACGGAUAUAUCGCAUGAUGAAUCCGUCAAAACUCCGGUGCCGAUAGAUGGGCCCGCGUCUGAUUAGCUAGUUGGUAAGGUAAGGGCUUACCAAGGCAACGAUCAGUAGCCGGUCUGAGAGGGCGAACGGCCACACUGGAACUGAGACACGGUCCAGACUCCUACGGGAGGCAGCAGUGGGGAAUAUUGCGCAAUGGGGGCAAUCCUGACGCAGCAAUACCGCGUGAGUGAAGAAGGUUUUCGGAUCGUAAAGCUCUGUUAUUGGGGAAGAAGCAGUGACGGUACCCAAUGAGGAAGUCCCGGCUAACUACGUGCCAGCAGCCGCGGUAAUACGUAGGGGACGAGCGUUGUCCGGAAUCACUGGGCGUAAAGGGCGCGUAGGCGGUCUUAUAAGUCAGAUGUGAAAGGUACCGGCUCAACCGGUGACGUGCAUUUGAAACUGUAAGACUUGAGUACUGAAGAGGCAAGCGGAAUUCCUAGUGUAGCGGUGAAAUGCGUAGAUAUUAGGAAGAACACCGGUGGCGAAGGCGGCUUGCUGGGCAGAUACUGACGCUGAGGUGCGAAAGCGUGGGGAGCGAACAGG
rnacentral:rRNA from 1 species